AGGAAGAAGUCGCAGCUGCCGAAGCUGAUUCGGCUGAGACCUGCAGUUGACUCUGCACCUCCAACAUCGUCCUUGUGAGCUCUAUAUCAUUGGUUAUCCAAAAGGAAAACAGUCUGAGAUGAAGCAGAAGAACAUGGAUGAAAGUCAGGAAAAAAAGGAAAAAGAAAGAAAAUGCUCUGAGUGCAGUCUAAUUAUCUGUAAACCACUGACAAGUUGGUGAUUUUCUCAUAGAUCCAUAGACAAGCAUAGGGUUAGUAUUUAAUACAUACUCUGUUUCUGGACUCUAAAUUUUGAAAGGGAAUUUAAAAGCCAGGAUGGGGAAGAAAUCUGAUCUAAGUGCUUUCGACCGUGGCUUGGUUGUUGGUGCUAGACGGGCUGGUUUGAGUGUCUCUGAAACUGCUAAACUCCUGGGAUUUUCACGCACAACAGUCUCCAGAGUUUACACGGAAUGGCGUGAAAGAGAAAAAAUAUCCAGCGAGCGGCAUUUCUGUGGGCGGAAACGCCUCGUUAAUCGGAGAGGUCAGAGGCGAUUGGCUAAGCUGGUGCAAGCUGACAGGACAGCCACAGUAACUGAAAUAACCAUGCGUUAUAACAGUAGUGUACAGAAAGGCAUCUCUGAAAGCACAACCCGUCGAACCCUGAAGUGGAUGGGCUACAGCAAAAGAACACCACCUAUUCCUGUAAGGCAAGUACAGGAAACGCAGGCCUCAGUGGAUGCAGACUCGCUACAGUCUGAUAGUAUUGGUAGGUCAGUGGUUAAGACUGAUGAGCGGUGUCUCAAAGGCCCCACUGCCUCAGUAGACGCAGGGUCAUCACAGUUGGAUAGAAUUAGUUGCUCAGGAGUUAAGACUAAGCAAAACUGAGAAGACUGAUGGCUCAAUGGUUAAUGCUCUGGGUUACUGUUGAGAAGAUUGGAGGUCCAAGCCCCAACACCAAGGUCCUUUACCCUCUCUGCUCCAGGGGUGACAUAUCAUGGUUGACCCUGUGUGCUGAUCUAACAAGGAGUGGUCUCUUCCAGGAUGAGCCAGCCCCCAUCUACAAGGCACAGGUGCUCACUGAAUGGGUUUUAUUUCAACGAUAUGCUGUGUCUUUCAGUCACCAGAUUACAACACGGUUGAAUACCUAUGUGAGACUUUGGAGCGACAUGUUAAACAAUAUUCUCUACCAUUUAUCAUCAGAAUACCAAUUGAGGGAAUAUAUUUGGGAAGAAAAGACGUUUGGUGUUCAUCAGUCUAGUACAGUCCCAGAGACUUGUAGAAUUGAUGUCAAGGUGCUCAGAAGCUGUCAGAAUGAAUUUUUGUGCCCCUUGCACAUGUGUAUCUGCAAUUAAAACCAAGGUUAACAGACUGACUAAGAAAAGUGAUUAGUGUAAAUUUCUUUUGGUUGUUUUACGUUUUCUUUUGUCACUGCUGUGUUGUGGGUUCUGAGUUGCUGUUUUUGUUUGUUUGGU